rnacentral:rRNA from 1 species
GUCUAAGGCCAUAGCACCCUGAACGCGCCCUAUCUCAUUUGAUCUCGGAAGCUAAGCAGGGUCGGGCCUGGUUAGUACUUUGGUGGGAGACCGCCUGGGCAUACCGGGUGCUGUAGGCU